AUUGAACGCUGGCGGCAUGCCUUACACAUGCAAGUCGAACGGCAGCGCGGGAGCAAUCCUGGCGGCGAGUGGCGAACGGGUGAGUAAUACAUCGGAACGUGCCCAAUCGUGGGGAUAACGCAGCGAAAGCUGUGCUAAUAACCGCAUACGAUCUACGGAUGAAAGCAGGGGAGUCGCAAGACCUUGCGCGAAUGGAGCGGCCGAUGGCAGAUUAGGUAGGUUGGUGAGGUAAAGGCUCACCAAGCCUU
rnacentral:rRNA from 1 species